UGUGGAAGCCUCCCGCCUGCUGCAGAGUUUUGAGCGCCGCUUCCUGGUGGUGCGUGCGCUGUGCUCCUUCCCCUGGCAGAGACUAAAAGAGAAAUUA